rnacentral:rRNA from 1 species
UACGGAGGGAGCUAGCGUUAUUCGGAAUUACUGGGCGUAAAGCGCACGUAGGCGGCUUUGUAAGUCAGAUGUGAAAUCCCCAGGCUCAACCUGGGAACUGCAUUUGAAACUCCCCUUCUUGAGUACCGGAGAGGAAAGUGGAAUUCCUGGUGUAGAGGUGAAAUUCGUAGAUAUCAGGAGGAACACCAGUGGCGAAGGCGGCUUUCUGGACGGUAACUGACGCUGAGACGCGAAAGCGUGGGGAGCAAACGGG